rnacentral:rRNA from 1 species
GACGAACGCUGGCGGCGUGCUUAACACAUGCAAGUCGAACGAUGAAGCCGGAGCUUGCUCUGGUGAAUUAGUGGCGAACGGGUGAGUAACACGUGAGUAACCUGCCCUUGACUCUGGGAUAACUGCGGGAAACUGUAGCUAAUACCGGAUACGACCCUCGGAGGCAUCUCCUGGGGGUGGAAAGAAUUUCGGUGAAGGAUGGACUCGCGGCCUAUCAACUAGUUGGUGAGGUAAAGGCUCACCAAGGCGACGACGGGUAGCCGGCCUGAGAGGGUGACCGGCCACACUGGGACUGAGACACGGCCCAGACUCCUACGGGAGGCAGCAGUGGGGAAUAUUGCACAAUGGGCGCAAGCCUGAUGCAGCAACGCCGCGUGAGGGAUGACGGCCUUCGGGUUGUAAACCUCUUUUAGCAGGGAAGAAGCGAAAGUGACGGUACCUGCAGAAAAAGCACCGGCUAACUACGUGCCAGCCGCCGCGGUAA